rnacentral:sRNA from 1 species
GAGCUUGAGAAGGAAUCAGAUUCUGCAUAUAUUUCCAAGUUAACAUGAACAAGAUUUUCUGAAAGACUGCUAUGGAGUCUGAGAAAAAAUGUCAAAGAUUGAGGACAUGAAGAGGAAAGAACUGACAGAGGAGGUGAAGAAAGGUGAUCAGGAAGAGCCAUCAAAGUGUUAUCCUGGAAUUCAAGUGAAGACAGUGUUUCAAAGUGGAAAUGAACAGUGUCCUGUAACCCUCAGAGUGAGACUAGAGUCAGAAUGCAGGCUUUUCUCAUUUGAAAUCUAUUGAAUAAACAUCAGUAAAAGAAGCAAUCCAAGUUCUCAUGCCAAAUAUGUAUAUGUCCAAGACCAGGAUUUCUUCAUGUCUGAAUGUGGAUAUGGAGCCUAGAGUACUAGCAAGGUAAGUCCAGGUCCUAACCUCCACCUAAAAGUUCUGCCAUCAAGGAACAUCUGCUCAUUAUCUUCUGUUCACACAUCAAAUGACUUCAAUGUGAUCCCUGGAUGUUCUCCAAAGAGCUGAAGGGAAAUAAAUAUUCUUUCUUUAUCACCAAAUACUUCAACUGCAGAGUGAUUGUGCUACCAAGGCCUGAAACUUCGGAAAAACCUGCAUAACACAAAAUAUAAAAUAUGCCACAGAGAGGAUCCAGAGAGCCCAUCUCCGGUCAGUUAUCUGUAUUUGUAUGUCAACUACAGCAUCAAAAAGCAUAGGCAUGGAUACUAAGGACCCCCUCUGUACACCAACACCAUUCCAAAGGACAGUGUGUCACUGUGAACUGGAAAUUCAUCUCUCUUCUUCAAUUUUUUUCUACCUACUUUAUGCUUUAUCUCUAAGUUGAGGCUGUUUAUGGCCUCAUCCUCAAUUACCUUGUCCCUC